CUUCCUUAGCCUUCCAAGUCCCUGGGAUUACAGGUGGUCACUUCUCAUUUCCUUAUGAUAUGUUCCUUCUCGCUUCUCAUUCUUGACACUGUGAUCAACUUUUGCUGUUAGCAAGUAUGAUUAUCUGAAAUCAGCAGAAAAAUAAAGAGGAGCACUGAGAGAAGAGAACCAUCUGUAGAGGUAUGAAACUGACCUGGGCCUAAGAAGAUAUGUGUGGCCCGAAUAUCUGUCUCUGAGGAAAAGGGACAGCAAUCUUCAGAUAAGCAAACUUCCAAUUUGAGCUCAGGCAGAGGGACCACUGGGGACACACAGGCUGGCCAUGUCUGUUGGGGCUGUGGCUCUGCCCUGCAGAAAGUGUCAUGACAAAAGGCAGGCCUGGGACCUGAGCCAACCUGUUGCUAAAUCAAGAUUCCUGAGAUCUCAGCUGGUUACCUUCUGUGAUACUAUAAGGUGUUUUUUUUUUGUUUUGGUUUGGGGCACU